rnacentral:rRNA from 1 species
AAAGUUGUUCUCAGUUCGGAUUGUAGUCUGCAACUCGACUACAUGAAGCUGGAAUCGCUAGUAAUCGUAGAUCAGCAUGCUACGGUGAAUACGUUCCCGGGUCUUGUACACACCGCCCGUCACACCACGAGAGUUUGUAACACCCGAAGCCGGUGGAGUAACCAUUUUGGAGCUAGCCGUCGAAGGUGGGACAAAUGAUUGGGGUGAAGUCGUAACAAGGUAGCCGUAUCGGAAGGUGCGGCUGGAUCACCUCCUUU